AUCAGAAGGAACAAACUCCGGACACGCCGCCUUUAAGAACGGCCUCAAGCUACUGUGGAAAAACCAUAUCGCAUUCAAAAGUGUCUUUCAACUAUAAAAAGAAUACCCCAGAGAAUCUUCUCCAAAAACAUUUCUUCCAGCUGUCUGUGGGGCCUUGUGAAAUCAAAGGUAAGAAAAACUCAGAAGUUCAGAAGGCACAAAGGCAUCAUCUCCCAAGAAUAGUCUAACACAAGUGUGAGAGUGAAUACACAGAAUACACUGCUGAAGCUGAUAGUGACUAACUCAACUGAGACUAAGUGCAUAGUUAAGAAAAACAUGGUUCUGCUGAAAGGAAAAAUCUCCAGAAGUUCUGGAGACUGACAAAUCGAAGAUCAAGCCACCAGCAAGUUCAACAUCUGGUGAAGGCCCUGUCUCCAUUUCCAAAAUGGUGCUUUGAAUGCUGUGUCCCUCACAUGGCAAAGAAGAUGGAAGAGUGAACAAGGGACCUAGCUGGUUCCCUUCAGGCCUUUUAUCGGGCACUAAUCACAACCAUGACGGUGAAGCUCUUAGGGAUUAGUCACCUCCAAAGGCCCCAGCUUUUAAUACUGAUGCAUUAGGGAUUAAGUUUCAUCAUGGAUUUUGGAAGGGACACAAUCAUUCAAGCCAUAGCCCACAUAGAUGUGAUUUCAACAUUCCUGUACGCCUCAUGGUGGAAGUCAAAGACAGCUGAGGGCCUGGGUGGGACAACCUUCCUUCUUGGUGGCCACAGUGAGAGUGAAAUGAGCCAAUGCUGAGAGCUACCAGUUGUGCCCUUCAAGUUAGAAACCAAAUGAGAGUCACUGGCAAACUUCAAGGGUCUGAAUUGCCAGUGAAUCCUGAGGGGAGGUGGGCCAUGAAGGAGAGAUGGUGGAGCAUCCAAGGAGUGCUUAUCCUAGAAGAGAGAAUGGACAAAGACUGCCAUCAUCUUCUGGCUUUAGAAAAACGCAACAAUAAUAAUAGAAUUUCUCAAGAAAUAUCUCAAGAUGUCAGAGAGAGUAAGGGUGGGGAAGAGCUCAUUUGAGAAAAAUUUUGUCAUUGAUAGAGUAUUUAUGAAAAAGAGACUCUUCUGUCAAAUGAGAUCAUUGGUAGGUUUAAAGUUCAAGUAUUCUCACUGCUCCUCAGCAGCCUGUAUAUGUGUGUUUGCAGGUGGGCAGGGCUGAUGAGAAGGACCAUUAGAUCAGCUGCAGAAAACGAAGAAGUCAGGGCUGAUAUGUUCACUAGGCAUCAUGGACAGAGUGCUUGGGACCUAGAGGACAUUGAGUCUCACAAAAAAGUUUAUUUUUAAUAAUAAGAGAAACAUUAACCUGUAAGGUCAAAGAUUACAUUUGUCUUUAUACCAAUGAAGUUAUAAAAUAUAAUUUUCAAUAUGUGUUUAUAGAAGAAGGGGGUAACAAAGGCAAAAGCACGUACAGCAUACGAAAGUCACAGUGUGGCCCUCAAAGAAGUUACAUUGUCUUUACGUACAUAGGUUGUAAUGUGACAAAAAGUGGGUGGUAAUGGAGAAAUGGUUCAUGUCAUUCUCACAAUUUACAAAAAUAUUAUUUUACUACCCCAUUUUAUAAAUCAUGUCUUGGAAAGGGUCAUACAUCCAGUAAGUUGUGAAGCUAAGAUUUGGUUCUGAUUCUCUACAACUAAGCCUAAGCACAGAAGCACAGAGAGAAACCUCUUGUUUCUGAGAGGCUUCUAUCAGGCCUGGGGUAAGGUAACUGACACUAAUUAUGUGCAUCACUUUGAACAUCUGCAUACAGCUGCCAGCUGCUCCUGACCCUUGUCAAAUGCUCCUAAGAAGGACUUAAUUAAGUGGAUUUGUGGUUCUUCUAGCUUAAUCUCUGGCCUGAAUCUGCCACCAACUUGCUCCUAACAGUUGCGUUUUGCUUUUUAAUACUUUAGCUUCUGCUUCCAGUUUGAUAUCCCCCAAAAGCCCUUU
rnacentral:lncRNA from 1 species